rnacentral:misc_RNA from 1 species
UACGAACUGCGCAAACGUUAUUCGGAAUCACUGGGCUUACAGGGUGCGUAGGCGGCCGAUCAGGUCCGAUGUGAAAUCCCACGGCUCAACCGUGGAAUGGCAUUGGAAACCGAUCGGCUCGAGUGAGCUAGAGAUGCACGGAACUUCCGGUGGAGCGGUGAAAUGUGUUGAGAUCGGAAGGAACACCAGAGGCGAAAGCGGUGCAUUGGGGCUCGUCUGACGCUGAGGCACGAAAGCCAGGGGAGCGAACGGG